GUGUUGUACUGUGAUGCUCCGUUUGAAGUAAUGAUACGGUACGCUUUUCUUCUUCCUCAGGUCCAUACUGUAGGGCCAGAAGCCGUAUAGAUGUGUCUCCUCACACAUAGACAGGGCAAAGGUGGUCACCAUCAGGCCUAAAGAAAUCGUUAAUCCUUCGAAGGAAGUCCGGAUGAGACCAUCGCACGACACUGCCAUUCCCACUGUCCCGCACCAGGAACAUGGCUCUGUAUGCGGUUUUUCUGUACAGUGGAUUGUGGAAGGGGUGUGUGUAGAAGGUCGCAUUUGUCCUGUAGGCAAGCACGCUCCGCAGAAACAGUUUCUGUUCAUCCUCGUCGGUCAGACCUGAGUUGUCACUGAAGACUGGUAGGAUGCGAAGGUUAAGCUGGUCUGCGUCCAAGCUCCUUCCGUAGACUGGCAGGAAGUGCAUGCUGGUACAUGGCCAAUGUCAGGGACCCGAGGAUCGCACGUGAUAAUGGAUGAGAAUGGAGCGUGUAAUAUGUGAUAUGGGCAUGUUUGUGCUAUAUUUUGUAUCAAGAAUUAUUUUACAUGUAAAUGCUUUGCUUGUCCGUCUAUACAAUCAUUAUCAUCGAUCAGAUUAAUAGUAAA